rnacentral:miRNA from 1 species
UUUUGUUUUUGCCCCCAUUUUUCAUGAGCUGAACUCAAAAAUCUAAGGCUUUUUCUAUGUACACAAAAGGCCUAAGGCACACCUGUGCAAUAAUCAUGCUGUCUAAUCAGCAUCUUGAUAUGGCACACCUGUGAGGUGGAUGGAUUAUCUCAGCAAAGGAGAAGCGCUCACUAACACCGAUUUAGACAGAUUUGUGAACAAUAUUUGAGAGAAAUGGGCUUUUUGUGUUCGUAGAAAAAGUCUUAGAUCUUUGAGUUCAGCUCAUGAAAAAUGGGGGCAAAAACAAAAG